AUCUUUAUUUCCUGAAAGCUACAAAUCGAUAUAGAGUGGAACCUCCCUUUGUGGACACCUCUGAUUAUGAACUGGCAUCAAGUUAAACUGUGCAGGACCAGCAUUCCAUCCAGAAGAAGUGAUGCUCCAAGUCAUUUCAUGCAACAGAAUCCGUGUUAGAGGGAGACCAUAGGUUUUCACAUCUGAACGCAUGAGAACACACCGGGACAUAACAGACAGUCAGAUAUCAGGUUGAGAUACCACUAGAUGAGAAAGAGGAACAAAAACCGCUGCAGGAUUAAAUAAAGCAUUGUUCGCAACCGAGAAACAUAUUCUGUUGUGUUCAUCAAAGAUUUGCGAUGCGAUUCUCACCAGGUGAAUACAGCAUAUAU